rnacentral:rRNA from 1 species
GACGGAGGGGGCAAGCGUUGCUCGGAAUUACUGGGCGUAAAGGGCGCGUAGGCGGGAUGGCAAGUCGGUCGUGAAAUCCCUCGGCUCAACCGAGGAACUGCGCCCGAGACUGCCUUUCUUGAGUCCCGGAGAGGAAGGUGGAAUUCCCGGUGUAGCGGUGAAAUGUGUAGAGAUCGGGAGGAACACCGGUGGCGAAGGCGGCCUUCUGGACGGUGACUGACGCUGAGGCGCGAAAGCGUGGGGAGCAAACGGG